GAUGAACGCUGACAGAAUGCUUAACACAUGCAAGUCUACUUGAUUCUACUUCGGUAGUUGAUGGUGGCGGACGGGUGAGUAACGCGUAAAGAAUCUGCCCUUUAGUUUGGGAUAACCUUUGGGAACGAAGGCUAAUACUGGAUAUUAUGGAGACGUCGCAUGGCGACUCCAUGAAAGCUAUAUGCGCUAGAGGAGGGCUUUGCGUCCCAUUAGUUAGUUGGUGAGGUAAUGGCUCACCAAGACCGCGAUGGGUAGCCGGCCUGAGAUGGUGAUCGGCCACAAGGGAACUGAGACACGGUCCUUACUCGUACGGGAGGCAGCAGUGGGGAAUAUUGGACAAUGGGCCACAAGCCUGAUCCAGCAAUUCUGUGUGCACGAUGAAGGUCUUCGGAUUGUAAAGUGCUUUCAGUAGGGAAGAAAAAAAUGACGGUACUUACAGAAGAAGCGACGGCUAAAUAUGUGCCAGCAGCCGCAGUAACAC
rnacentral:rRNA from 1 species